rnacentral:tRNA from 1 species
GAGAGUAUAGCUCAAGUGGUAGAGCGCAUGCUUAGCAUGUAUGUGGUCCUGGGUUCAAUCCCCAGUACCUCCA